rnacentral:rRNA from 1 species
AUUGAACGCUGGCGGCAUGCUUUACACAUGCAAGUCGAACGGCAGCGCGGGCUUCGGCCUGGCGGCGAGUGGCGAACGGGUGAGUAAUACAUCGGAACGUGCCCAGUAGUGGGGGAUAGCUCGGCGAAAGCCGGAUUAAUACCGCAUACGACCUGAGGUUGAAAGCGGGGGAUCUUCGGACCUCGCGCUAUUGGAGCGGCCGAUGGCAGAUUAGCUAGUUGGUGGGGUAAAGGCCUACCAAGGCGACGAUCGGUAGCUGGUCUGAGAGGACGACCAGCCACACUGGGACUGAGACACGGCCCAGACUCCUACGGGAGGCAGCGGUGGGGAAUUUUGGACAAUGGGCGAAAGCCUGAUCCAGCAAUGCCGCGUGUGUGAUGAAGGCCUUCGGGUUGUAAAGCACUUUUGGCGGGAACGAAAAGGACUGUGCCAAUACCACGAUUCGAUGACGGUACCCGCAGAAUAAGCACCGGCUAACUACGUG